rnacentral:rRNA from 1 species
AAAGGAAUUGACGGGGACCCGCACAAGAGGUGGAGUAUGUGGUUUAAUUCGACGCUACGCGAAGAACCUUACCUGGGCUCGAACGACUGGUGGUAGCAUUUAUGAAAAUAGAUGUGACCCGCAAGGGAGCCAGCCGAGGUGCUGCAUGGUUGUCGUCAGCUCGUGUCGUGAGAUGUUGGGUUAAGUCCCGCAACGAGCGCAACCCCUAUCCUGUGUUGCCCAGCAAUGGGAUCUCUCAGGAGACUGCCGCGGAUAACGUGGAGGAAGGUGGGGAUGACGUCAAAUCAUCAUGGCCUUUAUGUCCAGGGCUACACACGUACUACAAUGGCAUAGACAGAGGGCAGCAAUACCGCAAGGUGGAGCCAAUCCCUAAACUGUGCCCCAGUUCAGAUUGUAGGCUGCAAUUCGCCUACAUGAAGCCGGAAUCUCUAGUAAUCGCAGAUCAGCACGCUGCGGUGAAUACGUUCCCGGGUCUUGUACACACCGCCCGU